GCAGACAUAUUCCAGCCAAUCAGCAGCAGACCCUCCCUCCCAGACCCUCCCACCUCCUGGACAGCUCACUAAGAAUGCAGCUUCACAAUGAAUGUAAAAUGGAUGCUGUCCAGGAGGUGGGAGGGUGUGGGAGGGAGAGUCUGCUGCUGAUUGGCUGGAAUGUGUCUG